UUNGGAAUUCGGAACUAAUAGUUGGUCGGUCGUCGUCGUCGGUACUACUGUUUAUUGGUUUCUCCUUUCUGAAGAACCAUGAUGUCAUUUAUUUGGUGUCGUGGGGAAUCAGGACUGUUACUUUAGAAAAAUUAGAGUGUUUAAAGCAGGCUCACGCUUGAAUACAUUAGCAUGGAAUAAUGAAAUAGGACGUUUGAUUCUAUUUUGUUGGUUUCUAGGAUCGACGUAAUGAUUAAUAGGGAUAGUUGGGGGCAUUAGUAUUCAAUUGUCAGAGGUGAAAUUCUUGGAUUUAUUGAAGACUAACUACUGCGAAAGCAUUUGCCAAGGAUGUUUUCAUUAAUCAAGAACGAAAGUUAGGGGAUCGAAGACGAUCAGAUACCGUCGUAGUCUUAACCAUAACUAUGCCGACUAGGGAUCGGAUGAUGUUAAUUUUUAAUGACUC
rnacentral:rRNA from 1 species